CGAGAAAGGGGCUUCGGCCCUGAGUAAAGCGGCGGACGGGUGCGUAACACGUGGAUAAUCUGCCCUUCGGCGGGGGAUAACAGUUCGAAAGGACUGAUAAUACCGCAUACGGUGACGGAGACUCAGGGAUCCGUCAAGAAAGAGGGCGCCCGCAAGGGGCUCUCACCGGAGGAUGAGUCCGCGGCCCAUCAGCUUGUUGGCGGGGUAACGGCCCACCAAGGCGAAGACGGGUAGCUGGUCUGAGAGGAUGACCAGCCACACUGGGACUGAGACACGGCCCAGACUCCUACGGGAGGCAGCAGUGGGGAAUAUUGGACAAUGGGCGAAAGCCUGAUCCAGCCAUGCCGCGUGAGUGAUGAAGGCCUUCGGGUCGUAAAGCUCUGUGGGGAGGGACGAAAAGCGGGUUGCUAAUACCAGCCUGAAUUGACGGUACCUCCUUAGCAAGCACCGGCUAACUCCGUGCCAGCAGCCGCGGUAAUACGGAGGGUGCAAACG
rnacentral:rRNA from 1 species